rnacentral:rRNA from 1 species
UACGUAGGGACCAAGCGUUGUCCGGAUUUAUUGGGCGUAAAGAGCUCGUAGGCGGUUAUCCACGUCGGAUGUGAAAGCUCAGGGCUCAACCCUGAGAUGCCAUUCGAUACGGGAUAGCUAGAGGUAGGUAGGGGAAAGUGGAAUUCCUGGUGUAGCGGUGAAAUGCGCAGAUAUCAGGAGGAACACCGGUGGCGAAGGCGGCUUUCUGGGCCUUACCUGACGCUGAGGAGCGAAAGCUGGGGGGAGCGAACAGG